GAUCCUGGCUCAGGAUGAACGCUAGCGGCAGGCGUUAACACAUGCAAGUCGAGGGGCGAGCGCGUUGUAGCAAUACGAGUGGCGGCGACCGGCGAAAGGGUGCGUAACGCGUGAGCAACAUGCCCGUAUCAGGGGGAUAACCGAUGGAAACGUCGCCUAAUACCCCAUAACAACAGAGGCUGCAUGGUCUUUGUUUGAAAGUCACGGCGGAUACGGAUUGGCUCGCGUGACAUUAGCUGGUUGGCGGGGUAACGGCCCACCAAGGCGACGAUGUCUAGGGGUUCUGAGAGGAAGGUCCCCCACACUGGAACUGAGACACGGUCCAGACUCCUACGGGAGGCAGCAGUGAGGAAUAUUGGUCAAUGGGCGGAAGCCUGAACCAGCCAUGCCGCGUGAAGGAAUGAGGCCCUAUGGGUCGUAAACUUCUUUUGACGGGGAGCAAUAAGGCGUACGUGUACGCCGAUGAGAGUACUCGUCGAAUAAGCAUCGGCUAACUCCGUGCC
rnacentral:rRNA from 1 species